UACGGAGGGGGCUAGCGUUGUUCGGAAUUACUGGGCGUAAAGCGCACGUAGGCGGAUUGCUAAGUCAGGGGUGAAAUCCUGGAGCUCAACUCCAGAACUGCCUUUGAUACUCGGUGAUCUUGAGUCCGGGAGAGGUGAGUGGAACUGCGAGUGUAGAGGUGAAAUUCGUAGAUAUUCGCAAGAACACCAGUGGCGAAGGCGGCUCACUGGCCCGGUACUGAC
rnacentral:rRNA from 1 species